UGUGUGCUUUUAUGUAAGAGGAAAAAGCUGAUGAGAGGGUAUGCAACAUUCUCUCUCUCUCUCUCUCUCUCUCUCUCUCUCUCUUUCUCUUUCUCUUUGUCUCUCUCAUCUCUCUGUCUCUCUCUGUCUUUGUCUCUCUCUCCUCUCUCUGUCUCUUUCUCUGUGUCUGUCUCUGUCUCUCUCUCUGUCUGUCUCUGUCUCUGUCUCUCUCUGUCUCUCUCUCCUCUCUCUGUCUCUCUGUCUCUGUCUCUCUCUGUGUCUGUCUUUCUCUGUCUCUCUCUGUCUCUGUCUCUGUCUCUCUCUCCUCUCUCUGUCUCUCUCUGUCUUUGUCUCUCUCUCCUCUCUCUCUCUGUCUCUUUCUCUGUGUCUGUCUCUGUCUCUCUCUGUCUCUGUCUCUCUCUGUCUCUCUCUCCUCUCUCUCUCUGUGUCUCUGUCUGUCUCUGUCUUUCUCUGUCUCUCUCUGUCUCUCUCUGUCUCUGUCUCUGUCUCUCUUUCUCUCUCUCUCUCUCUCUCCCCCUCUCUCUCCCCCUCUCCCUCUCCUUCUCCCUCUCGCACUCGUGUGCAUGCGCGCACGCACGCAACUGCACUUGGCGAUGUCGUGAAGCACAGGAUGAAUGUGGAAAUCAAAGGACAGUCAGAAUCGGUCCGUGCUGUCCCCUUCCUCUCUUUCUUGUUUGCUUUGCACUCCGGAGCAGCUGGCCUAUCUUGAGGGAAGCUCUUUUGUUCCUCUCUCACAUGCUGCCUGGUUACCAAAGGUGUAAAAGUCAUCUCUCCAGUGGCUCAUGGGCUGAAACCUCAAAAACUGGGAGCCAAAAGAAGCCUUUUCUCUUCGGAAGCUGAUCACCAAGGUGUUGGUCAGCAUGGAGGAAGAGCGGAUGAGCACAUCUGUGGACAGCACAAGACAAUUGCAGUGGCUUCAAUGUUCUUACCCAGUGUCUCAGUACCAGGAGUCUCAAACAUCAUGUGGAUGGGCGCAUGCGUACCUGAGUGCGGCCUAUGUCGGGGCUUUAAUUAGCUACUUUAUGCAGCUCCUCACAGGAGCAUGGCUAGCUCACAUUCCUCCUUGCUCACUUGGCAGGAAUUCCCUCUUGCCCCCACGAGGAUGGCAUUUGCACGGCAAUUAUACCCACCGUGCAAUAAAGAGCAAAGCCAGCGAACUGAACGGCUUGGCUAGACUCGCACUUUGUUUCAGCAAAAUACCAUAGAAGUUAAGGGGUUAAGUCCUCCUCCCACUUGUGUUGCUUCCCCCUUCUCUUGACUCCUCCCCCCUCUCCCUCAAGUAGAACACUCCACCCAGUCACGACUGUCUUUGAUAAACAGUCAAUGCAUUUUUUGAUCACCCCAAUCACGGACGCAACUGUUCUCCUGACUAGAGGUGCACUUAAACCAGACUGGCAGCCUCUGCCCUCACAUCUGUUAUGUUACUGCCAGUACAAGGAAUUUGGCUAUUUACAUUUUUUUUUAAAUUCAGUUUGUACUUUAUAAUACUCCGCACUUAAAGAACACGAUCGCUGCUAAUUAUCAUUUAGAAAAUUGUUUUUUGCUUGAUUAGAGAUUUUAGCUGUGCGUACUGAAAUCUAGUGGGCCUUCAUUAGGUGCUGUACUUUGUAGUGGAUGCUGGCUUAAAUAUUAAUAUAUGGAAAUUCAGCUUCAUCUGCUGUACCUUUUGAUGUCAGAGGCAUAAUCAGUAUAAUUGGCUUAGAUUGUUUUUCUCCUAUUGGUAUUUCAGACCAGCUAAUGUCAUUAGUGAGCUAACCACUGAGUGGGGGAUCUGCAUUGUAGAACUGCUUCCUGAGCACAUUAGGACCCUUGAUUUUGAUUAUUUUAAUUCCCAGCCACCCCAGGCAGGCCCUCAAGCUGUGCCACAUUGUUUAAAGUCCUGAUCCCUCUGGCCCCUAUUCAGAGAACAAGACUUUGUGUGUCUGAAAGCCCAUCAGUGCUCUGAUAAAUGCUGGUGCUUUUGGUUGGUCUGGGGCCAGCUUGCUUUUUAUAACAUAAGGCAGGGGUUGUGUAGCCCAGGGCCUGUGUUCCCUGAAUGGCUGCAGCAUGGCAGCCACUGGUGUCCAAGAGGAAGCUGGUGCCUGGUCUGGGUGGCCCUCGGAGAUCUGACUGUGUAACUGGCUGGUAUCUCAGAGACUGGCACUAGGGUUUUGUCUCUUUACUAGUCCUCUGUAGCCUUUCUGCUGGUUCAUAGCUGUCAUAUCUCCUCCCUCCAGCCCUAAGGCUUGCAAAUCUAUCUUUUGUACUUUAAAAAAAAAAUGAUGGCUGGACCUACUUAGGGAUUGAGAUCUAACUUCCUUUUGGGUUUUGAUUGUAUUCCAAAACCAACUGUAAAAGGAACCCCACAUUAAAGUCUAAGUUUGGCUACAGCCAGCCACAGAUUCUGCUACCCCUCCGGCUGGGGCACACAUGCUUGGUUUCUGUUGAUGGUGGUUAUGAAGUCAUUUGUACUUGUACAGAGCUCGACUAUUAAGGAUGCGGGGGAACCUAGCAGAGCUUGUACUCUGCGUCUGCCUUUUUAUGGGCGAGAAAACAGAGUCUUCGUGUGGUAGAUAACUGGCUGGAGCCACACAGCGCCUGAGUGGUAAAGAGUCCCUUUGCCCAAGCAGGGUUCUCUACCUCUUAGGUAGUUCCUUGUUUCUAGAUGACGUGGGAUUGCAGCGUACCGCACACAGCAGCUAAUCCCUCCGUGUGUGAUUGACAGCUGCUGUGUGCACAUGUAGUUCAAUGUGACUUGGGGGCCAAGAGCUUUUAUAAGGGAAAUGAGGGUACAAAAGAGAAGGUAAUUAAAAGCAUGUGUGUGUGUCGACACACAAUCUGCUUGUUAAGGAUGUUAGCAGGGUGAUUCUGCUUGAAUGUGACUUGCGUAAGUCGUCGGAUUAGAGGGCUACGUUGGACUAAUUUAGAGAAACAGAGCGAGUAAGGAAGAGAAGGUAUAGAAAGAAAUUUAUUACUAGGGAUUAGCUUGUGGAGGCCUAGAGGGUCUGCCAUCUGCAGAUUGGUGAGCUGAAGGAGCCACUGAGGUAGUUCUAGAACAAGCCUGACCACUUGAGGACCAGGGAGCCGACGGUAUCACUGCUGGUCUAAUUCCAAAGACCUAAAACGAAGAUUUCUGGUGUUGGGGACAGAGAAGGUGGAUGUCACAAUGGAGGCAAAUUUGCCUCCAUAAAUUAGAUGACCCCUCUGACAUCUGUGACAGCAGCCGUCUUUCCACCAUGUACAGACUUAGCUACUAAUCUUCGCCAGAAACACGAUCACAUCACACUCAGAAGUAGUGUGAUAUCAGCAAUGGGCAUGUAACGUGACCCUUCUGCUCCUUCUUAUUGGACGGUGACUCUCUGCUUCUGUAGUCCUGGGGAAAUGCUACUUUCUAGAGCUUAUGGAAGCUGCCCUUGAGAGUGUCCCUAGCCUGGUUUAGUACUUUUCUUUGCUGAACAGUUAGGAUCCAUGACUUCGAAAUGUUCUCCUAUUUCUUGAGAAAAUGGAAGAGAUGCUAGGAACUGGGUAGGAAUUUCCUGUUUGAAACUUCUCUUAUGUUUUAGACCUACCAAGGUAUAAUUCCUAAUGAAUCUAGUCAUUAAGGCAAUUCUUAAUUAUUUUUUUUCUUUUUUUUGGAGCUGGGGACCGAACCCAGGGCCUUGCGCUUCCUAGGCAAGCGCUCUACCACUGAGCUAAAUCCCCAACCCAGCAAUUCUUAAUUAUUAAAGGCACUUUGGAAUUUUUAACUAAGAAGCCUCGAGGGCGAUUAUUUUAGACUAUGUGACAGUAGUGUUAAUAACCAGCAGUUCUUCUAACAGUUGGUUUAAGUUAAUUUGGCUUCAUCAAAGGAAGCAAAUAAAAUUAAUCCGGACACUAUUAUGCCACAUAUGUCUAGAAACAAGAUUCUUAAUCCUAAAUAAUCAUUUCCUGAUGUUUCCUCUUUGAGCCAACCCUCUCCUUAUUUGAAUGUGUCAGUUUAUGAUGCAGAGAAGUGAGCUAAUGGUUUUCUAUUCACAGUCCUGUGUGAGGCCCUGGUCCUCAGAUUUGUCUUGGCCUGUGCUCAUGGCUACCUUCCUGUCCAAGUCUCUUGAAGAUGUCAGGCAAGUGGGUCGCUUGGCACUGAGUCAACACCGAACAUAGCCAGACGUUCGGAGACUGGGUUUUUGUCUCAGUUUCCAGGGGAAUUUCCAAUUGAGUAGCCUUGGACACAUCAUAGGCUACUUUUAGUAAGAUGAGAAAGCCUGGGCCAGUGGCUCUAGACUUCUGGGUUUACAACCAGUGCAAUUUCUAGGAUGACUUUAGAGACCAACAUACGAUUAUCAACGUUGUUUUCCAAGUAGUGCUGUGAAAAAGUACCAAAUGUCAGCCUCCUGGGAGCACAGCAUACAUAUUGAGAAGUGUGUGUGUGUGUGUGUGUGUGUGUGUGUGUGUGUGUGUGUGUUUUAAAAUUCCAUGAAAAAACACAAUAUGGUGCUUCUGAGUCAAAAGACCUCUUAAAGGCCCUUCUAGAUGGAUAACUGACUUAGAUUUAAGUUGAAAUCCACUUGACCCAAAGGCGUUUUUCUUCUUGCUUUUUUUUUUUUUUUUUUUUCGUCUUCUGACUCUUGACCCAUUGACUCAUUUUCUUCUCUACCUCUCCUGGUUCCUCCCCUGUCUAUCUUUAUUUUCCUCUCAAAUUUGUUAGUUUCCAGAAAGUCUCAGGAUAGCAGAAAGGCAAUCACUUGGUCCCCCCAAAACCAAUUUUUUUCUUUCUGCUGAAUUGGUGCUCCCUAUGCAGAAUCUUUAAUUAUAGGCUAAAUAACACAAUGCCAUCUGUGGUGGACCCUCAAGGCAGCCCAGGGAGAAAGGCACUGGCUGACAAGUCUCAUGACCUGUGUUCAGUCCCUGGGAAUACAGGUAAGCCAUCAUACUCUCUCUACUUUUACAUGGGGACUCGCUUACAUUGCUGUCAAAUUCUUCACUUGCCGAACAAUUUCUUUUUUUUUUUCUUUUUUUUUUCGGAGCUGGGGACCAAACCCAGGGCCUUGCGGUUGCUAGGCAAGCGCUCUACCGCUGAGCCAAAUCUCCAACCCCUGCCGAACAGUUUCUUAAGGCCUCGAAUGCUUUCCUAAUUGGUUACCCUUGCUAUAUGAAGUUAGAAGAUAACAUGAAACCAGUUGGAGAGGUAGCUCAUCACUUAAGAACACUGAGUCCCAGCACCUACAUAGCAGCUCACAACUGUCUGUAACUCUAGCUCUAGGGGUUCCGACCCUCUUACAAAGCAAAAACCCAACAAUAGAUAAAGCAUUUAAAAAGGGACACGUAACAACACCCCCUACCCUUUCUCUGAUAGAGGUGUAAUGUGUCCUGUGUCUCUGCAAGUCUAUCACGUGUAUCCCUCUUUCAUAGACGAAUAAGCUGAAAACAUCACUGAGCUUGUUUUCUUGUGAGGUUUUCUGAUUUUAAUACUUUAAUUCGGACUAGAAUUUAUAUUAACCAAAGGUCUGGUUGGUUUUCAACAUUUGGCUCAAUGGUUUCAAUAAAAUAUUUCCACAGUAUGUAAGAGUAAAGGGCAAAACAAUUUCUUAUAGAUCCCAUAAAAUUACUGUGUCUGAUAUCAGCAGAAGCCGGUUGCUUUGGCUUCUAGGUAGGGAUUAGGAAGAGUUUUUCUUAUUCAAAGGACUAGCAAAGAACUAGUCUCUCCAGUUAAUAUAAAACAAAGUGCUUUAAGAAGCUGUAGACUUGUAUUUGAACCAUGAUUGAACAUGACCUCAGAUAUACAGUUUACACACUCCCGUUUACUGACAACCUAGUUUAUUUGUACAAGUUUGAGCUCAAGGGCUGGCGAGCAUUUAAUGAAUAAAAGAAAACACUGCACAAGUUCCUUAAGCCUUCAGGUAUUUAUUUAUUUCUGUUCUGCCAGGAAAGAUACUUCAUGCUAGUCAGAUGCUGUGAUGUUUGGAAAGAUAUUUUUGAGACACUUCACCAGAGAUGACUUUUGAUAGCUCUGAUGGACUAGUGGCUCCAUAAAUUAGGAGGGUCUAAGAUCUUCACAUAGACCUCACGGUCUGUGCUGUCAAAUGUGUGGAAGGCAAGAGGGUGAACCCCCCUUCCCCCGGACUGAGCAGUGGAGUCCUGAGAAUGAUGUCAGGGUCAUAUGGUUGUGUCGAAACCUGUUUGAACACUGAAUGUCCACCACAGCAUCUUACCAGCUGCUGAGUCCCUCCAGCGAAUCAUUCCAUCUUACCUCAGUAACAGCAGUGUGGGCAGAGUCCUUCCCUUGAACGCUGGGCUUAAGUCCUGGCUGGCCACUACUGACUCACUGGGGCAACUUCUUCCUCAAUGCUAUCAAGUUAUUGUUUCCUCAUCUGAAAAAUUUACUCAGUUCCCGUGGAAAUCAGAUGAUAUCUUAGUUCCUUCUGUAUGUAACCACGUGUAACGGAAAUACCUGACAGACACAACCUAAGGGAUGAAAGAUUUAUUUUGGCUACGGCUUCAAAGGGUUUCAGUCCAUUGUGGUGCUGAAGGCACAGCUUUCCUUGAGGCAGAAAUGUGCGGCAGAGGCUAUGCGUUGUGGUGGACCAGGAAGAAGAGAAAGCUGAAUGAAGUAGUAGGUGGGUACAACUUUUGGAGUCCUCGCGCCCUGGGGACCUAUACCUGUUCGCUACAUCUCAACUCUGAAAGGUCUACUGCAGCUCAGCCUCCGGAGGACGUUUCAGACUCAAACUAUAAUGUGAGAUGUGGCUGACGAUAGUGUAUAAAUUCUGUGUUCCUGUGUACCAUCAUGAUCACUAAACUUCAACUGUCAAAGCGGACAUGGAGAAGCAUUGGCAGGGACUCACUGCAUACAAUCUACCUUCUCUAUUCUCAAUCAACUGUGACCCUGUCCACUUCCCUGCCUUCCUAUGUU